ACAAAACACAGCUAAGCUAUGCUAUUACAACCAAACAUGGCAACCCAUGCUUGAACCUCUUCUAUCCCAUAGCUUACUCUGACUGAACUCUGGCUUGACAUACUCUGGCCCUGCAAAACUGGGUUAAGGGAAUGGGGUGAGCUACAAGAGCCCAGUGAGUAGAAACAGAGAAAAACAUUUGAUUUAGUUCCUCCAUUUUUAGGUAUAUUAUUAUGCCUUUUAUUGUUCCACCCUUUUUAUGUAUUUUAUUAUAAAGACAUUUUAAAUCAAUUCAAUUAUUCUUCUUAUUCAUGCCUUCAUGAAAUGCGUCAUAUCACAAUUAUAUCACAACAAACAUCUCACCCCCGCUUGAGUUCAUGCUAGCAAAUCUCUUCCUCUUGCGGGUGAUUUUAGAGGGUUCACGUAACGUCUUUCCCCUCAGGGUUAGACAUGACCCCAACGUUCCCUCUGUCAAAACUUGGCCCCGAAGGAGCUCUCAUGGGGCUUUCCUACAUGUACUCGCCCGAUUGACAAAGACUCAUUGACAGACUUGCGGGCUAUUGAGGUCGCCUUGNNN
rnacentral:lncRNA from 1 species